rnacentral:rRNA from 1 species
AAUAGAUACCCGGGUAGUCCACGCCGUAAACGAUGGAUACUAGCUGUUUGAGCGCAAGUUUGAGUGGCUAAGCGAAAGUGAUAAGUAUCCCACCUGGGGAGUACGGGCGCAAGCCUGAAACUCAAAGGAAUUGACGGGGGCCCGCACAAGCGGUGGAGCAUGUGGUUUAAUUCGAUGAUACGCGAGGAACCUUACCAGGGCUUAAAUGUAGAUUGACGUAUUUGGAAACAGAUAUUUCUUCGGACAAUUUACAAGGUGCUGCAUGGUUGUCGUCAGCUCGUGCCGUGAGGUGUCAGGUUAAGUCCUAUAACGAGCGCAACCCCUGUUGUUAGUUGCCAGCGAGUAAUGUCGGGAACUCUAGCAAGACUGCCAGUGUAAACUGUGAGGAAGGUGGGGAUGACGUCAAAUCAUCACGGCCCUUACGUCCUGGGCCACACACGUGCUACAAUGGCCGGUACAGAGAGCAGCCACUUAGCGAUAAGGAGCGAAUCUAUAAAGCCGGUCACAGUUCGGAUCGGAGUCUGCUAACCG